rnacentral:rRNA from 1 species
UACGUAGGUGGCAAGCGUUAUCCGGAAUUAUUGGGCGUAAAGCGCGCGCAGGCGGUUUCUUAAGUCUGAUGUGAAAGCCCACGGCUCAACCGUGGAGGGCCAUUGGAAACUGGGAAACUUGAGUGCAGAAGAGAAGAGUGGAAUUCCACGUGUAGCGGUGAAAUGCGUAGAGAUGUGGAGGAACACCAGUGGCGAAGGCGACUCUUUGGUCUGUAACUGACGCUGAGGCGCGAAAGCGUGGGGAGCAAACAGG